rnacentral:misc_RNA from 1 species
UUAAGUUCAGCGGGUAUCCCUACCUGAUCCGAGGUCAAGAGUGUAAAAAUGUACUUUUUGGACGUCGUCGUUGUGAGUGCAAAGCGCGAGAUGUACUGCGCUCCGAAAUCAAUACGCCGGCUGCCAAUCGUUUUGAGGCGAGUCUGCGCGCAGAGGCGAGACAAACACCCAACACCAAGCAGAGCUUGAAGGUACAAAUG